rnacentral:rRNA from 1 species
UACGGAGGGGACUAGCGUUGUUCGGAAUUACUGGGCGUAAAGCGCACGUAGGCGGAUUUGUAAGUCAGGGGUGAAAUCCCGGGGCUCAACCCCGGAACUGCCUUUGAUACUGCAAAUCUCGAGUCCGGAAGAGGUGAGUGGAAUUCCUAGUGUAGAGGUGAAAUUCGUAGAUAUUAGGAAGAACACCAGUGGCGAAGGCGGCUCACUGGUCCGGUACUGACGCUGAGGUGCGAAAGCGUGGGGAGCAACAGG